ensembl:lncRNA
GUGAGAAUGUAGUUGUUUAAACUUUAAAUAUGCAGUUUGUUCAUAAAGAUAACGUCUAUUUGAAAAUUUGCUUUAGCAUUUUUGGAGAUGUGAGCUCCAGGGCAUCAGCAGCUGUUCAGCACUCAUGGACCCACCUAGAACAGCUUCUCCUGAGCUGCUGGCUCAAAUGUCUCUACACUAAAAUAUAACUGAUGAUCUUGUUUUGAAUAAGUUUAUGGAACUUACUAAGUUUAACCAAGUAAUCUGAAAGUUUUAGCACAGAAAGUUAUUAAACUAAGUGGAUUCAAGUAUGCAGUACUUAAAAUAAUGAGUAUUUUUAACGUUUUUGAGUGUUCAUUCCACCAAUAUGUGGAGUCAAUCUGCAACGUAAUUCUGACGGGAGAAGCACAUGGAAAGCAGUUCUUCAUGGCCUUUCUCUCAGAGAAGAAACCUAUGACAUUUUUCAAAACAAUGUUGGCAAGUACCUUUUUCUGUUUCAUUCAAAAACCCCACACACAUCACAUAUAGGAUAUCAAUUACACUUCAUUCAACUCUUAUCUUGCACCAGAUUAGCAACCUCUGAGUUUAUUUCAUUUUUUUAACUUAAGCCCUUGUACAUUGUUAUAUACAUGUUUCUACACAAUACUUAAUGACCAUUGUUUUUUUCUGUUAGUUGUACAUAGAGCAUAAGAUAAUGGUCCAAAUUCUUUUAAGUUACAUGUACAUUUGUGAGAUUAUUUGAAAUUUAACAUGAAUUAUAAUCUUGCUGUUGUUGUUUUUUCAGGACUGUGAAUGUGUCAUGCCCCAGAUUUCCAUCUGAUUCUGACUGUGUUGACAGCCGGGAAUCUCCAUUUGGAUGGUUUUUUCAGCUCAAGUACAACUUUGAUUUUAUUCUUCAACUUUGAGUCUUUAUUUCCAUUGGACACAAAUCUCUAAAACCAAAACUACAGUCACUAAAAAUCUGCUGUUGAUGAAAGUCAAGGAUGUUUGAGAUUUAGAAAACCCAAAAUUGUUAAUUCUGUCAUUUUGCUCAUUCCAAGAUAAUUUUUUUUUUUUUUUUUUUUUUGACCUUUUGGGUUUUGAAACACAAAUCAAGUAUUUUUAAUGGAAUCUGAGAGGUUUCUGUCCUUUUGUUGACAGUCCAGGUAACCAAAACUUAAAAUAUAUUAAAAAGUUCAUUAAGGUGAAUUUAAACAAAUCGUAUACACUCAAUUAAAAUCUGAAGAAAUUAAAAUCUUUUGGUUACCUGGACUUUAAGUGAAGGAACAGACGUCUCUAAGGUUUCCUUAAAAGUAGUCUUUGAAAGACAAAAACUAAUAUUGUAACUAAUAUCUCCAAAUCAGCGUAGCGCCAUUUUGACAAAUCUGAGCAGUACGCAGGUGGUGUAAGCUCUUCUGUGCCAGCAGCACUGCGCUGAUGCGCUGUUUCAUUCAAACUAAAGCGUAAAUACAUGUAAAAAACGUAUUCUUGUGGCGCAGCUGACACAGAAGAGCGAAUGCCGCCUGCGUACUGCUCAGAAUUGUCAAAAUGGCGUUACGCUGAUUUUGAGAGACAGAGGAGAGGAAUUGUUGAAUAAAGUCUUUUUUUUUCUUUGUGUACA